rnacentral:rRNA from 1 species
AGAGUUUGAUCCUGGCUCAGAUUGAACGCUGGCGGCAGGCCUAACACAUGCAAGUCGAGCGGAUGAGAAGAGCUUGCUCUUCGAUUCAGCGGCGGACGGGUGAGUAAUACCUAGGAAUCUGCCUGGUAGUGGGGGACAACGUUUCGAAAGGAACGCUAAUACCGCAUACGUCCUACGGGAGAAAGCAGGGGACCUUCGGGCCUUGCGCUAUCAGAUGAGCCUAGGUCGGAUUAGCUAGUUGGUGAGGUAAUGGCUCACCAAGGCGACGAUCCGUAACUGGUCUGAGAGGAUGAUCAGUCACACUGGAACUGAGACACGGUCCAGACUCCUACGGGAGGCAGCAGUGGGGAAUAUUGGACAAUGGGCGAAAGCCUGAUCCAGCCAUGCCGCGUGUGUGAAGAAGGUCUUCGGAUUGUAAAGCACUUUAAGUUGGGAGGAAGGGCAGUAAGUUAAUACCUUGCUGUUUUGACGUUACCGACAGAAUAAGCACCGGCUAACUCUGUGCCAGCAGCCGCGGUAAUACAGAGGGUGCAAGCGGUAAUCGGAAUUACUGGGCGUAAAGCGCGCGUACGUGGUUCGUUAAGUUGGAUGUGAAAUCCCCGGGCUCAACCUGGGAACUGCAUCCAAAACUGGCGAGCUAGAGUAUGGCAGAGGUGGUGGAAUUUCCUCUGUAGUAGGCGSUAGAAAAUGUCUGUAWRUAUAUGARUGAAGGCACCACGYRGYGACAGAGCGWCACWCCCGUGGGCUUCAUUACCUGSACCASUGMUGUGCCGAGAUAGCRUGGWGARCAAAGCAGGWAUAGAAGAWCCCCUKGUUAGUCCCACGCSGUACAUCGAUGUUCAWWCUAAGCCGKUGGRAAUUCCUUCGAGAWGAUUAAGCGCGCGCAGUUACCCCAUUAAUGUGCCCCGCCCGGGGGAGUACGCCCCGCAGGUUUAAAAACUCAAAGGAAUUGACGGGGGGCCCCGCACAAGCGGUGGAGCAUGUGUUUUAUUUCGAAGCAACGGGAAAAACCUUUCCCAGCCCUUGACAUCCAGAAAAAUUUUCCAGAAGAAGGGAUGGGGCCUUUCGGGAAUUCUGACCACAGGUGCUCCAAUGGCUUUCGUCAGUUCGGUGUCGUGAAGAUGUUGGUUAAAGUCCGGAAACGAAGCACCACCCCCUUUUCCUUAGUUACCAAGCAGGUAAUUGGUGGGCCACUUUUAAGGGGAGACUGCCCGGGUGCCAAACCGGGAGGAAGGGUGGGGGAUGACGUCCAAGUCAUCAUGGCCCUUACGGCCUGGGCUACACCACGUGCUACAAUGGUCGGUACAGAGGGUUGCCAAGCCGCGAGGUGGAGCUAAUCUCACAAAACCGAUCGUAGUCCGGAUCGCAGUCUGCAACUCGACUGCGUGAAGUCGGAAUCGCUAGUAAUCGCGAAUCAGAAUGUCGCGGUGAAUACGUUCCCGGGCCUUGUACACACCGCCCGUCACACCAUGGGAGUGGGUUGCACCAGAAGUAGCUAGUCUAACCUUCGGGAGGACGGUUACCACGGUGUGAUUCAUGACUGGGGUGAAGUCGUAACAAGGUAACC